rnacentral:lncRNA from 1 species
AGAAUUGUGUCUCUAAAGACAUUUCUCAGCCACAGAAUGUCAUCAGAGCAAAUUUGUGGCCUCUUAAUAUUUUCCAGAGGACAGUAAAUUUUGGACAUAGCCCUAUCAAAGGGAACAUGGGACUUCAGGAAGUUUCAGAAAUGUGUAGUUUCCAGUUAGAAUGGUGUCAGUGUGACAUUUUGUGUGAUACAUAGUGUUCUCUGCUCAAAGAUGUUUCUGGGACAGAGAAGAAACGUUGUGAACUUUUGUGUCAAGAUAUGAACAAGGGAGAAACUGGACUGGAAGGAUCCUCUUUGUACCUGAGCUCUGUUAGAAGGAAACUGGAACUAUAAUCUCUUUUCCUGGCAGUGCCUUCUCUUCUCCUGGCAGCAUCCUCUUCACAAAGUGGAGUUGAUGUGGUUUUCAGUGUCACUUUUCAACAGUUCACGAUUGGAGAGAAUGCAAGCAGAACAGAGACAGGAACUCUGAAUGUGGAGGGGAGAUACCUACUCGCUGCACUCCCAAAGCAAACAUUUUCACUGCUAAUCUGAAGUAUAUCCAGCUACGCAUUGAAGUGGAACCUUUUCUUCAUCAUCCGAGAUUGUGGAAAACACCAACAUCCUUGAAAACAUAAGCUGAAAUCAAGGACAGAGUGUGCAUAAAGUGGAGAAAACUGGUUUUCCGUGCAUUAAGGUCCCUACUGUUGGAAGUGAAGACUUUCACCAGGGUAUACAAUGAAAGGGUAUGGUGAAUUUUAAUCUGCUAUGGCUGCCCGUUAAUUUUAGCUCCUUAUAACAGACAAACGAGGAAAAGAAGACAUGAAGGCAAGUUACUCUCAGGAAUAGAAACUCUUUGAAAUCAAGGGUACCAUGGAUCCGCUAAUGUGCUUCCAUCCAGUAUUCUUCUGUCCACUAUGGCAAGAUGGUACUAGACAAACAGCAAUCACAGUCAGGAAUGACAUUUGGACCAUAAAAAAACCUCCUCAGAGAUAAACACGGAGUCACAGAACAGGCCACACACUUUGCAGACUGGUGUAAGAUGAGAGCGAUGAAAAGGAUUUGCCAGAAAUCACCUGCUUUGUCUUCUUUGCAAGUCAAGAAAAGCUGGAUAAAGACCUUCUUCUUACCAUUCCAUAGCGUUUUAAAGCCAAUUCUGACCCUCAUGAAGGACGCAUGAAAUCCUGAUACUUGACUGAAUUUAUUUAUGUAUUAGCUAUUCUCUCACUAUGGCAAUGUGCAGCAGUGGCCGGCAGCCCAGAACAACUCAUUCUCUCUUACCCCACCCCCAUGCUUCCAGGAAGUAGCACAUUGCUGGUUAACAGACCAGGCUAUAGAACACUUUGCUUUCUCGAAAUUCCUGUGACUAUAUUGAAUUGUCUGCCAACCAUAUACAUAUGGAUAACUAAAAAUGUGAGAGGCAUGUAUUUUUCCAGUCACAUUUAAUUGCAUCAGCAUGGCAUUCUCUUGGCUUUUGUAGCAACAGCUAAUGAGCCAUAUGUGGAAGGGUCCAGAUGUUUGGAUUAUAUGCUCUUCCAAUCCAUUAUGCAAAUGUCCAUUUAUGACAACGUGUGGCAUUGUGUGGAGAGAAGAAGGGCUGCAUCACCAGUAAGGAAAUCAAAGUGGAGGCUAAUUACACUGCUGCUCUUUGCAAAUGGGGAAUUUCUUUCUGAGCGUGUUAUUUUCAAUAUGAAAUGAUGGGGUUGAAAAAUGAUUUGUGGUUUGUAUUUUCAUGGACCCUUUACUUGUUAUUAUUUAGGUAACCAUAUGUCUACUUUAAAUAGCUACAAUAACUCUCCCACACAAUAAUAAAAUGUGGAAUAAUAUCGG